CCUACGGGUGACAGCAGUGGGGAAUAUUGGGCAAUGGAGGAAACUCUGACCCAGCAACGCCGCGUGAAUGAUGAAGGUCUUCGGAUUGUAAAGUUCUUUUCUAAGGGAAGAAGAAAGUGACGGUACCUUAGGAAUAAGCCUCGGCUAACUACGUGCCAGCAGCCGCGGUAAUACGUAGGAGGCAAGCGUUAUCCGGAAUGACUGGGCGUAAAGGGUGCGUAGGUGGUUUGAUAAGUUGGUAGCGUAACUCCGAGGCUCAACCUCGGCACUACUACCAAAACUGUCGGACUUGAGUGCAGGAGGGGCAACUGGAAUUCCUAGUGUAGCGGUGGAAUGCGUAGAUAUUAGGAGGAACACCAGUGGCGAAGGCGAGUUGCUAGACUGUAACUGACACUGAGGCACGAAAGCGUGGGGAGCAAACAGGAUUAGAUACCCGUGUAGUC
rnacentral:rRNA from 1 species